AACUGGGCAAAGUGGACUUGAAAAAGUUCGAGCACUCGAGCGUCGUCAGCAUGUGUAAUAAAGGUUAUUUAUGUAUAUUUUAUCGCCACCCUCGUUGCACCUGAACCCGCCAAGUAGCCGGCGAACAAGCUUGCCACCCAGCCAUCAUCCACCACGCACUCGGAGAGCCUUGAGAUUGGCCGGCCAACUUGUUCGAGUGGUUUUAGUCCAGGUCCAAGAUUUAUUUCGGCCAUCCAGCUUAGCAAUUAGACGAAUGAAAAGUUGCUCAUAUAAAUGCUAAUUCCCCGGCAACACAAAGAGCAAAAAAAUAAAAAGAGUUAAAGGAGGCGAAAAAGCUUGGUCGAAAUUGCAAUUGCAAUAUGGCAAUUGCAGCUCAUUACGCGAAAGAAGCGAAAUAAAUUAAAAUUCAAAAGGUGACACGGCAUUAAGCUCAAGGAGCCAAGCACCUUGUGCCAAAGUGUCGAAACGGAAGUAAUAAGUGAUAAAACGGAAACACAAAGACAAGGAGCAGGCACCGGAUGCGCAUGCAGUGCCAGAACUAUUGCCAAAGCUAAUCGCAAAAAGGGCAGGGAAAACUGGGUGGGCGUGAUGGGUGGCUAUAUAGUGAUCCGGAUGGAAAACUUUGGAGGACGAGUUGAAGAGGUGGCAAAUUGACAUGCAGCAAUCGACCUUUAUUAAAAAGUUUUUUUUUUUCGCCAACCGCCAAACGAAGCGGAGAAAAAAGAGCUAGUGGCCCCCAAGACGCAAUAUAUAUGGGAAAACUUCCACUCACUUUUGCCACACCCUCCGCCGGAAAAUUUAUCUGAGGGUGACCCUCGAGGCACCGCUGGCAAACCAAUAGAAAAAUGUUUGUUUGUGGCAGCAUCAGGAGCUGGAGCAGCAGUUGGUGAUGUUGUCCUUCUCGCAAAAAGCCGGGAAACCGGGAUGCAGGGAGCCCGGGCAGCCGGAACCCCAAGCGAUGACAAAAGCUUAUUGACAGAUUAUUCAACUGUUGGCACAUAUUGCCGCCAUAGUUUGGCACCAUCGGGCACAACAACACGGCCAACAAAUCAACCAGCGUCGUCCAACAAAUCGGCAAGCGUUUCAAGCAAAUAAUUAAAAAAGUUGCCAUUAUUAAAACUGAGCCAGGGCAUCAGGCAGCUUCAGGAAAAGUGCAAAGUGGAAAAGCCAAGUGGCUAUGGGAUAUGAUUUGGCGAGGU
ensembl:ncRNA lncRNA:TS9 long noncoding RNA: testis-specific 9